UAUACAAAUAGUGAUUAGUGUAGUCAUGACGCUGAGCAGUGUUGGUGUAUUAUCUGACUCCACAUGUUUCUGCAGAAGAUAUCAUGACACAGGAAAGUCAUCUACAGAUCGUGAUCAUCGUGGUGUGUGCUGUCACUGGCACUGUGCUGAUUCUGCUGCUGGGACUUCUAGUUUUUAAACGUCAGCGAAAAACAGGAGACGACAGCAGGUUUAAAACCAAUAAUGCAAGUUCAGAGGAUAUGUUGGACUUUACUACAGUCAUCUAUUCAGCUAGUACAGCACAAUGAGCCUUCACACUGGAAAUUAAUGUACAGAAA